rnacentral:tRNA from 1 species
GGAGAGGUGUCCGAGUGGCCGAUGGUGCAUGCUUGGAAAGCAUGUGUACGGGUCAAACCGUACCGAUGCCCGCGAUGACUUCAGUCAUCGCGAAAAUCAAACCCAGCGAAUCCCUCCCUCUA